ensembl:lncRNA
AUAUCUGAGUCUGUUUUCUAAAACAAAGCAACUUUUGACCGACCUUUCAGCUGGGGUUAUUAAAGGAGAAAGAAGAGGGAAAACAUAUUGACAGACUCCCAGAGCAGCUGUCCAGGGAAGGAAAGACCUGCAUAAUUACCACUUGUACUUCCUCAGCGAACAUGAGCUCAAGUCUGAAGCAAGGAGUUGGGUCAAUAAAACAUCAAGGUCUGAAAACUACAGGAAAAGACCUGUCCAGCUCGUAUGAUAAGGAACUUGUUCCUAGCUACAAAAACCAGAAUAUUCUGGUGGAAGCCUCUUCAUCAGACCUUUGCAUUAUGCAGAAGUGCCAUAUGCAGUCUUUGAAAGCUUUUUUGAAGGAAUCCGUGAUUCUUCAGCCGCUUUGCCAUCUUCUCCAGAGGUGUGCUGAGGAUUUCACACAACACAGCAGGAGGCACGUAAGGUAAGAAUGUCUGAAGUUAAACAUGUUUCAGGUGUGGAUUAUCCUAAUGGGACGGGUCCUGUGCUGCGCAACGCUGUGUGACGAUGCUCUCCUUCCAAUGCCUGCUGUGUUACUAUUUGAAGAUAAUCAGCAUCUUGGAGAAUGGAGGCUGAACUACAGAAAACCUUGUGACAUUUUCCUAACAAAUUUAGGUUGCCAUCAUGAGUGUCCCAGAGAAUUGGGCAAAUCAGGUAUUUUAAAAUAGGCUCUUUAGAAGUGAUGGUGCUUAAGAGCUCACUUUCCUAUUCAGUUUGGCUCAAUAAUUGUUUUUCCCCCUCACUUUUAAAUUCUGCAUACAAACGGUGAGAUGUUUGGCCCUGCAUGUUUUUUAAACUCUAGGUGAUGAGUGAAAAAUUGGAAAGAAAAGGCAUUUUUUGAAGGUGAUCUGUUGGACCUUUACACCACAGCCACUUCUGAGAAGCCUUUUGAUUACUCAGUGACAAAGACAGUAAACUGUACCCUGAAAAUAAAGCAGAUGAGAUGUUUGAAUUGAGUAAUUCAUAGGAAAAGAAUGGUGCCCGGGUGAGUAAUAGCCUAGUACUUUCAUGAAGGUCAAGCACCAUGGGAAUGGGACAACUUUAUAAAAUCAGAUGGUUGCAUUUUGCAAUUUUGUUUCCUAUUUGCAUAUACAAAGCGUUUGAAAGCUGCUUCCUUAAGCCAUGUUAUAAACAAACCGGCAUUGAAGAGAUGGUGGUUUUGAUGUUAUGCACAUCCCCCUUGUACUACAGGAAUUAAGAUGAAAAGGACGCUUCCCUCUAGUGCCGCAUUGAAGUACAGUUUUGUAAUUUUGCUACGCAGACAAGUUUACCAAUUCUUAACAAUAUACUGGACAUCCACAUAAAAUGAAUAACAGAUUUUUAGGAAGAGCUCUUUAACAAGUAUUUUAAAAAUCUGAUUUCACUUUGAGUUAGCUUUCAAAAUCCAGUCCAGAUAUAUGUAAAGAAUAUAAAAUGUAAAUAUAUUUUCUAAAGUAGUACAGCAUGUGAAAUUUAUGAAUUGUUACAUGCUUUGCUAAUACAGCCGAGUGAAGCUUAGCCUCAGAUCAGAUAGAAUCUUUUAGAUAAAUCAUUUAUGACUAGAUGACUUCUUAUCCAAAAGUCAAAUAUGUGAUCAUUUACAGAGGUCAAUGGUUAUAUUCUGCUCUGUGUUCCAUAAUCAGCUGAAAUAAACCCCAGGAGUCCCUCCUGAUUGUAUAGUCACAGGGUCACAGUAUAAUAAAAUGCUGCUCAAGUUGUAUUUCAGACAAGGAAUGCUCUCCCCACAACUAUUCUAGUCUCGGGGACAGGACUGUCAACAUCCAAUUCACUACAAAUGGCAAGUAUUAAGUCCAAUAUAUUGAAGAGAACCACUCUACAUACUUAGUGGUAAAAAGCCCUGCUGCAUCACACCUUUAACUAUUUAAGCGACUUUUAAAAUACAUAUUCUACACUCCUUUUUUUCCUACUUAGGGAAUCCUGUUGGGAUUUGUAACUAAAGCACAUUUUUUGAGAAAGGGGAGAGGUACUGAAAAACUUGGGAAUAUUUUUCUAAGGAACACAAAUUGGUGUUGUGGGAUAGGGAAGAAAUGCUACUAGUUUCCAUGGAAAUAAAUUGAGCAUAUUUCUAUGAAAUCCUCAUGGUAUCCUACUCAUGAUAAUACAAAGCUCACACUGGUAUUGUCAAAAAAAAAAAAAAGUCACAGGAUGAUGGAAAUGCAUGGAAAUGCACUUCUGCUUGAAAAGUAGAUGAAGUAUUAGCCUCUGGCAUUUCUGUCAUUCCAUGGAAACACAUGUGGCUAGUCAGGAAAGCACAAUAAAUGUUCUGCAUAAAGCCCUGCAGAAAUGAAUGAGAUUCUGUUUUCCUACGGAGUUCACUUCAAGCCGCAGGUCAGUACCUCCACCUCUGCACUGGGUAAGCUACUCAGUGAUUCAGAUGUUCUAGAAGGAAGUGGUUUAUGAAGAUAUUAGCACCACAGCUGCUUAAAUAAAGAAAAGUUGCUAAACUGGCAACCCGUAAUAAAGACAAUUAGAUAAACUGAAGUGUGAUGAGUACUACUGUGCAAUUAAGUGGCUACUUCUGCAGCCAUUCCUUUGCUUGUCUGCUUUGUUAAAAGUGAUAUCAUAGAGUCACCACUGUGCUUUGAAUUAUAGGUUAUUCCAGCCUGGUUAGAUGGAAGAAAUGCUGUGACCAGGAAAGAUGCCAGCGAGUCAGGGCUGGGCAAUUACUACAGCUGUUCAAAGAAGCACACUGGGCAGUAAUGAAUACCUGUCAUGCUUUCCCAGAAGCAAAAAUACAGCUAUUUGACAAAAAGGCUGACAGUGUUCUGUAAUAUUAUAAAGAACAGAAGACCAUCUCCAAUAGCACAAUAAGCUGCUUGGAUGC